GAGAUGCCGGCAAUAUAACUUUGGCCAUUGAAUCUUAUGAGCAAUGCCUUAAACGAACAUUUUUUCGUUUGUUCUUAGAGUCAUCAUAAAUCUACAAAACCUACAUUGCAGAACUAAAGGAUGCGAGGAUCCCAUACAAAGAUAGCCCGAAACUGUUGGGGCUUUUACUGGAAUUUUCAAGUUCAAUUCCUUCUUUAUUUGAUCAAUGGAAGAAUUUUGCUGGGCUGCUGCUGCUGCUGUAAUGUUGCUGUGAAGCGGGCUGCUACUAGAUGCUGGUCUGCUGCAAAUUUGGGUGGUUGUUAGUUUCAUGAUUUCAUUUUGUUAUCUGCUGUUUUUACUAUGGGUUCACAAUUUGGAUGUAUUUGUGUAUUUUAGUGAGUUUACCCUUUUAGGUUUUAUACAACGCUUCCAAAAGCAUAUUUUUCAGCAGU